AAACUACUUUUGGGAGCUUCAUGUACCUGAAGGGGCUUUACGUGACGUGAUUAGCAGGGACAGUCAGUAAUGGCAAUACCGCACUUCUGUAACUGUGGAAAGGACCCGAGUGGGGUUUUCUCCGGUUUACCUCCCCAUGUGUGUCAGUUAGUUUUUUUUAGCCGUAGAUUUAAUUUACUUAUUAUACUAAUUUGUCGGCAUGCUGCGAAGCAUGAAGGUCACCUCGCCAUAAUCGCAACUGCCUCGGUCACAUCGCCGACAUGAGUCUAAUGCCGCAGUGCAGCAGUAAAAUGGGCGUGAAUAUCAUUUUCGACUUCAGACAAUCAUAUAUUAAAUUUGCGCACGUCUCGAGAAGGGUCCGGCUGCAGGUCGCAGACUCGGCCUUCCACGCCUCCUGCCUUGCACAGUCGGCCCCACAACCGCCCACAGUCCGUAGAAAGAGAAGGAGAAGAGCUGCUAUAUAGUUUUUCCAAUACGAAAAAAAGGAGCUGAAAACGUUUACCGACACGGAACAAUUUCACAACAGAACCAGUCACAUUUCUACAUAAAGGCAGAGAGUAUAAAAACAACAUUGAUUACAUUGAUUAAAUAUCCAAAUGAAUCCAAGUGCCCUCUUUGUAAAAAGCAAAGAGACUACAGCAUCCUGCUGCCUGCCUUCAGAGUCAUGAAGACCACAUUGUCAAGUAUGCAGUAUACUGUCCAUAGUGGAUUUGAAGUUCCAGAAAUGCCUACCUUUCAAAAUCCAGAUCAUUUAAAUGUUUAGAAUUUAUUGAGCCAUUAAUGAGAAGACAGAAGAUAAGUAAAGACUUGGCACUACAUCUGAAAUGAAAAAAAAAAUGUCUUGCUAUUCUGUUCCUAACACUGCGUUCUGCAGGUUUCAGAUCUUUUCUUUUAGAAGAAACAUCAGCCACCCUUCUCCAACAUCCAGCACAGGGCACCGAUGAGCAGCAACACAGAAUCAUUCAGCAUCUUACCGAGGUAGAGAAGUGGUGUGCUGAAAACAUUUCUGUGUUCAGGGGGCACAUCUCACUCCCUUCAUUACUGACAAUGGACAAAAACGACAUUGAGGAGGCCCUUUAGAAAUUUGAUUUGCUAUCUGAAUUUCCAGAAGAAGAGGAGAGGGAAUAUGUCCUUAGACCCUUCAUCAUCCUUUAUUUCACAUAUGGAAGACA